rnacentral:lncRNA from 1 species
CCCAUAGGAACACCCAAAGGGCUUCCAGAAAACAAAUCCCCAGAGCACAGCUCUCCCCUCCACCAGCUGCCACCCCCCUGCAUUAAUUGCCUCCAUUUGAUUUUUCUAAUUUGCUUCAUGGCCCGUGAUUACCUGCUUUCAUCAAUGAAAUAGGCAGGUAGCGCUCUGCCACCCACGGCCGUCUCCCGGUCUCCUGUAAGGUCGAGGGCUUACCUUGUCGUAGUAGUAUCGAAGGGCUCUGCUCAGCUUAUCGUAGUUCAUGUUUGUUUUGUUCUUGCGGAGUCCCCACAGUUUGGCCACUUCUUCCGCUUUGAGGAGCUUGAAUUCGCCAUCGCUGGAGGUCCAGCAGAUCAGAUGCUCAUGCUUCUGGUCUAACAGCAACUGCAACAGGAACUGCCACAGCGUGAUCGCGCUCUCCAUACCUGGGGGAAGGAGGCUGGGU